CGGAAGGGACGCUAGAACCCACUGCUCUCAGGGUAGCUGAGGGGAUGGUGGACCGGUGACGUGCACUUCAUUUAUGAUGUAGGUCACCCGUCUCACUAUCCACCAGCACCCAGGCCACCUG
ensembl:miRNA